GAGUUUGAUCUUGGCUCAGAUUGAACGCUGGCGGCAGGCCUAACACAUGCAAGUCGAGCGGUAGAGAGAAGCUUGCUUCUCUUGAGAGCGGCGGACGGGUGAGUAAUGCCUAGGAAUCUGCCUGGUAGUGGGGGAUAACGCUCGGAAACGGACGCUAAUACCGCAUACGUCCUACGGGAGAAAGCAGGGGACCUUCGGGCCUUAGCGCUAUCAGAUG
rnacentral:rRNA from 1 species